UUAAACGUGCUGGUGAUAGGUGCUUGUAAAAAAUAGGUGCGGUUUUUAGGGCGAAGGACAUUUGUCCCAGUUUGGAGGAAAUGUUACUCCACACUUUCAUUCAAGACGCGCUGCCUUGCAAUCUGUUCCUAGCUCAUAAAGGCAGGUCUUAAGAUGUACUACACCGCGCAACUCAUAUAAAUAGUAUCUACUCAGGACCUGCUGGCGGUCUAUUUCGCCAACAAGGCCUACAAAGUCUUGUGCAAACUUCGAAUGGCAACGCUUCAGGAUGGGAGAUCUGAGCAGUAAGUAAGUCGGUAAGUUUCGCACUUGAAAGCUUCCACGAGGCUAAAGAGACGAAAAUUCGGCGGCUAUGAAGUUGUAGUGCCCUACAAGUCCAUUAUCGCCGAAUAUCUGAGCUAUUAUGACUGCCUGAUAUCCAGCUCACAGACAACAAUAACAUUGCAGCCAGCUUACCAAAAAGUCCUUUUCUAUCUUCGAUGUGAUCCUGGGUAGCUCGGGAAGUACGCCCAGAUGGCUUCAUCUAAGAACAAGACAGAAAAGCGCGACAUCAGGAAAAUGCCUUGAACUCAAGGAUUCUCCAGCGCAGUCCUGAGCAGUUGCAUCGAUCUGGCCUUGAUCAUUAAUGAGGAAGCCAAGCAAAUCCCAGCCCAUCCAAAACCCGAAUGGGAUGAGCCCAAGACCCCAAUGUUUCAAGACUAGACUGCCAGACUACUUUGAGGCCAUGUCCUUAUCCAUUACCCCGUCCCUCAAGUGGAUUUGGUCCAGCCCUAUUUGGGACAGAACUUAGCCUUCAGGUGCGGAACUCACUGGAUUCUGAUAGCAUGUCUUGGCGAAGUCGAAUUCAACACUUCCAUGGUGACUCUGGCCACCUUAUAACAACUGUGCGAUUUCAGCUGCGCAGUUUCGAUGAAGCCAAUGCGAAUUUGAGCCAAAUUUAAGACCAGUUGGUAAUCUCCAAUGAAAUGGUAGUAGGUCGCAAGAAUACUUAAGACUACUGGAUGGCAUUCAUCAACCUUAUAGGCCGCAUUGAGGGGACUUAAACCAUCCCUAUAAAGUCUUGGGUCGCGUUGAUUCAGUUUCAUAACGACCCUUCCAAGUAGCGCAUUUUGACAUCGACUGUUGGCUUCAGAUCCAUCUCAAAGGAACGGCGGCACUGUUCAGAUCUCCCAUCCUGAGAUUCGAUUCCAUUCGAAGUUUGUCCAAGUCUUUGUAGGCCUUCUUGUCAAAGUAGGCCUCCAGCAGGUCCUCUCCAGAUACAAUUUAUAGGAGCUGCACGGUGUUGUACAUCUUAAAACCUGCCUUUAUGAGCUAGGAACAGACUGCAAGGCAACUAAGGAAUCUGUUUGUAUAUAAAAUUGUGUGCAGAAACAUUUCCUCCAAGUUGGGACUAAUGUCCUUCGACUAAAAACAGCUUCCAUUUUUUACAAGCACCUAGCACAAGCACGUUUUUAAAGUCGCGUUGAUCCAGUUUCAGAAUGACCCUUCCAAGUAGGGCAUUCUGACAUCGACUAUAGUGCCUCAGAGCCCUUUUAAAGGAACGACGGCACUGUUCGAUCUCCUAUCCAGAGAAAACAAUGUCCUAUCACAGAGCGAACAUCAGCAGGUCUCCGAGGUUGGGUCACUCUUGAAAUAGCGGAAGGAUCCUAUGUAAUCCUGACGCUUCCCGAAGAGGAAAAUUGUGAUUUAAAUGCAAGCGAAAUCGAGUCAGCUGAUUAAAAAUGUGCACUCCAAUGCCACACAUCUCUAAACCAAUUAAAUAAUUAAUAAAAUAGGCAUUAUUUAUUUCAAAAAUAUUAUUUGU